rnacentral:rRNA from 1 species
GAUGAACGCUGGCGGCGUGCCUAAUACAUGCAAGUCGAGCGAACAGACGAGGAGCUUGCUCCUCUGACGUUAGCGGCGGACGGGUGAGUAACAUGUGGAUAACCUACCUAUAAGACUGGGAUAACUUCGGGAAACCGGAGCUAAUACCGGAUAAUAUAUUGAACCGCAUGGUUCAAUAGUGAAAGACGGUUUUGCUGUCACUUAUAGAUGGAUCCGCGCCGCAUUAGCUAGUUGGUAAGGUAACGGCUUACCAAGGCGACGAUGCGUAGCCGACCUGAGAGGGUGAUCGGCCACACUGGAACUGAGACACGGUCCAGACUCCUACGGGAGGCAGCAGUAGGGAAUCUUCCGCAAUGGGCGAAAGCCUGACGGAGCAACGCCGCGUGAGUGAUGAAGGUCUUCGGAUCGUAAAACUCUGUUAUUAGGGAAGAACAAAUGUGUAAGUAACUAUGCACGUCUUGACGGUACCUAAGCAGAAAGCCACGGCUAACUACGU